rnacentral:rRNA from 1 species
UACGUAGGGUGCAAGCGUUAUCCGGAAUUAUUGGGCGUAAAGAGCUCGUAGGCGGUUUGUCGCGUCUGCUGUGAAAACCCGAGGCUCAACCUCGGGCCUGCAGUGGGUACGGGCAGACUAGAGUGCGGUAGGGGAGAUUGGAAUUCCUGGUGUAGCGGUGGAAUGCGCAGAUAUCAGGAGGAACACCGGUGGCGAAGGCGGGUCUCUGGGCCGAUACUGACGCUGAGGAGCGAAAGCGUGGGGAGCGAGCAGG